rnacentral:sRNA from 1 species
GGCAUCUCUCGCGUGCUCUUGCUCGCGCACUAAUUUGUCCUCCACCGCCUCCCGUUCAGGCCGGCUCUCCUGCGGGGCGGGGAAAGGGGUGGGAAGAGGCUGGGAGCUGCGGCCGCUGUGCCAGGGUGACCGGUAGAGCUGUAGCCGAGGUGGCGGCGCGGGGCGGGGCGGGCGGAGAGAGAAGGAAGGAGGUGGUUGUGCAGGAUGGCGACGGCGGCCUACGAGCAGCUGAAGCUGCAUAUCACACCUGAAAAAUUUUAUGUGGAAGCUUGUGAUGAUGGAGCAGAUGAUGUACUUACCAUCGACCGUGUGUCCACAGAGGUUACCCUUGCAGUCAAGAAAGAUGUUCCUCCUUCAGCUGUCACAAGACCAAUAUUUGGUAUACUGGGCACAAUCCAUCUGGUGGCAGGUAAUUAUCUUAUAGUCAUUACCAAAAAGAUAAAAGUAGGUGAAUUUUUCAGUCAUGUAAUCUGGAAAGCAACAGAUUUUGAUGUCCUUUCUUAUAAGAAGACAAUGUUGCACUUAACUGAUAUUCAGUUACAAGAUAAUAAAACCUUCCUAGCGAUGCUAAACCAUGUCUUGAAUGUGGAUGGAUUUUACUUUUCAACAACAUAUGAUUUGACCCAUACUUUGCAGCGGCUAUCCAACACUAGUCCUGAAUUCCAAGAAAUGAGUCUCUUGGAAAGGGCAGAUCAGCGAUUUGUAUGGAAUGGUCAUCUUCUAAGAGAACUUUCUGCACAGCCAGAGGUAAUGUACACGAAAUAAAAUCUGCUUAAUUGUUACAGUCCAAGCUUUAAUUCAAUGCAUACUAUAAAGUGACUUCCUAAUCACCAAGAAUUUCGAGAAACAAUUCUAAUUUAACUGUUUAUAACUUAGAAACUUGGAUCAGGUCUACCCUGUCACAUCAUUCUAGGUUGAAGAAGCCUAACUAUUUUACUCUGAUCUUCUAUAGAAGCCUUAAA